GGAAUCCGAUUUAUCCAAGGUCUAGCCAGCCAGAUAAUAGCGAGUCUUGGGAUGUUGUUGGUAACAGCAACUGACAAGCGUAGACAGCAAGAAAGCAGGGUUGCAAUGCUAUUGAGCCUCGAAAAGUUAACUUCAGUAGGCCGACGUCUUAACUGGUGCGGAAGGCAACAGCACACAAGUCAUUAUGGCGAGAAUUGUGUGGCGCUGCGGGGUCAAAGGGCC
rfam:Lachnospiraceae bacterium 2_1_46FAA genomic scaffold aclXT-supercont-complete, whole genome shotgun sequence.